rnacentral:pre_miRNA from 1 species
AUAGGCAGAUGAGGCAAAGCAUGGUGUUGAGUUCCACUAUUCUGUUGAGUGGUGGAACUCUACGCCAGGCUUUGCCUUUGCUUUGGAAA